GACGAACGCUGGCGGCGUGCUUAACACAUGCAAGUCGAACGAAGAGCGAUGGAAGCUUGCUUCUAUCAAUCUUAGUGGCGAACGGGUGAGUAACGCGUAAUCAACCUGCCCUUCAGAGGGGGACAACAGUUGGAAACGACUGCUAAUACCGCAUACGAUCUAAUCUCGGCAUCGAGGAUAGAUGAAAGGUGGCCUCUACAUGUAAGCUAUCACUGAAGGAGGGGAUUGCGUCUGAUUAGCUAGUUGGAGGGGUAACGGCCCACCAAGGCGAUGAUCAGUAGCCGGUCUGAGAGGAUGAACGGCCACAUUGGGACUGAGACACGGCCCAGACUCCUACGGGAGGCAGCAGUGGGGAAUCUUCCGCAGUGGACGAAAGUCUGACGGAGCAACGCCGCGUGAGUGAUGACGGCCUUCGGGUUGUAAAGCUCUGUUAAUCGGGACGAAAGGCCUUCUUGCGAAUAGUGAGAAGGAUUGACGGUACCGGAAGAGAAAGCCACGGCUAACUACGUG
rnacentral:rRNA from 1 species